rfam:Schistosoma haematobium scaffold501_11, whole genome shotgun sequence.
UGUCUUGUGAAUUCGUGCCAAGAUUUCGUCAGACACCAGAACAUCAGGACUGAUGAGACUCCAGAAAUAAGUGAAGCA